rnacentral:rRNA from 1 species
UACGUAGGGUGCGAGCGUUAAUCGGAAUUACUGGGCGUAAAGCGUGCGCAGGCGGUUAUGCAAGACAGAUGUGAAAUCCCCGGGCUCAACCUGGGAACUGCAUUUGUGACUGCAUGGCUAGAGUGCGGCAGAGGGGGAUGGAAUUCCGCGUGUAGCAGUGAAAUGCGUAGAUAUGCGGAGGAACACCGAUGGCGAAGGCAAUCCCCUGGGCCUGCACUGACGCUCAUGCACGAAAGCGUGGGGAGCAAACAGG